rnacentral:lncRNA from 1 species
AAAAAAAUAUUUUUUACAUUUGUUCUGUUUCCAUGGUAACGGCGGCCAUCUUGCACAUGCCAAAGUCUGCUGCACAACUUCACAUGGUGUUCCACAUUAUGGUAUAAUUCCAUCAACAUUGGUCCAUUCAAUUCCGAGAAAUAGCGUGGACAAAAUGUGUGGAAGAAUAAAAAUAAUAAGAAAAAAAGAAACGUAGAAUAACAAUAUGUCACCCCAACUCCGUUGAGGGUGCCAUAACUAGAUUUGUAAUUGCUAGCAAUAACGGAUGGCACCCUUCCCCCAUUGCCAGGCGAGCGGCAGCCAUUUUGAAAAUUCCUCAGUCAAAGAGUGCAUCUACACUUGCAAAUUAACAUUUUUAAAAGUUUCAUUAAUUUUGGAGCAUUUUGAAAUUUUUGAAAUUUUUGCAGUUUCCAUGGUAACGGCGGCCAUUUUGAAAAUUCCGAAGUCAAACUGUAAAUCAGCACAUGCCAGUUACCAUUCCUGUGAAGUUUCUUCUACUUUAAAACACUUUGAUUUUUUUCGCAUUUUUGCUGUUUCCAUGGUAACGGUGGCCAUCUUGACCAUUCCAAAGUCAGAGGGACAACUUCGCAUGGUGGUCAACAUUAUACAAUAGUUUCAUCAACUUUGGUCCAUUCUAUUCUGAGAACUGCUCCGGACAAAAAUAGUGGAAGAAAAAUAAUAAUAAAAAAAAGAAACGUAGAAUAACAAUAUGUCACCCCAACUCCGUUGAGGGUGCCAUAAUAAGAAAAAAAAGAAACGUAGAAUAACAAUAUGUCACCCCAACUCCGUUGAGGGUGCCAUAAUAAUAAUAAGAAAAAAAAGAAACGUAGAAUAACAAUACGUCACCCCAACUCCGUUGAGGGUGCCAUAAUAAGAAAAAAAGAAUCGUACAAUAACAAUAUGUCACCCGACCUCCGUCAGGGUGACAUAAAAAAAAGAAACGUAGAAUAACAAUACGUCACCCCAACUCCGUUGAGGGUGCCAUAAUAAUAAUAAUAGGGAAAAAGAAACAGAGGAAAAGCAAUAUGUCACCCGACUUUGUCGAUCGGGUGACAUAAUAAGACAAAAAGAAACGAACAAUAACAAUAUGUCACCCCAACUCCGUUGAGGGUGCCAUAAUAAUACAGAAAAAGAAACAGAGGAAAAGCAAUAUGUCACCCGACAUUGUCGAUCGGGUGACAUAACUA